ensembl:lncRNA CYLD-AS1 CYLD antisense RNA 1
GAAAGAAAAAGCAGAACACGCCAUUAACAAGGCCAGAACCCCGACUGCCAUUCCUGGACGGGAGCCACCAACACCCGCAAAAUCGAUCGAUUCAGCCUGGGACGCUUGCUGUUUCCGAACCUCUGUUGCCACCUAUCCCAGUUUGGAGGGAAUUUUCCCAAGGAUGGCUUCAUGACCACACUGCUGUAGGAAGCCAUAAGUUGGAAAUCAACGGGCCUGGCUUGAAGUGUGGCCUUAGGCAACACCGUUCUCAUCUACAUCUGGAUUCUCCAACAAAGCUGGGAAAAAAACGAUCCAAGGGAAGCCAAUCAAAGAGCCUGGAUUGCCAGUCUUCCCUGCUGCGAUCUCCGCCUGCGAUUCUCCAGGGGAAAUGUCCUUUAUGACCUUACAGCUCACCUGGAACCCUCCACCUAGGGCCCGAGGCAGCACAUCCUCUCGUGCCCGGGCACUUCCAGGCAUUGCCCUGAGUACUGGGCACUUCACACACUGGGCUGGACCACUCACCGGAGUGAAUAAGGAGGCUUGAAGCUGUCCUGGUACAACAAUGGAAUGAAGCGCUAGUCUCAGCUCAGCCACUUGGAAUAUGACUCCAACUCUCACAUUUCUGUGGGGUGUAUUCAUUUCAGCUUUUUGUUUGGUGCUAUGGGGAGGGAAGGGCCCUCAGACUGGCAUCCUUUUUCUUCCAGGAUGAUGAUGAAUAUUAUGAAAGUCUGAGGCUGUUUUUAAAAUUCUGCUCUAAUACGUUGUUUUUCUGUGCAUAAGAAUUAUGUAUUCUUAGCUGCAAAACUGGAAUCCGUCUGCUCAUGGAUAAACUUCUGGCCAUGAGCAUGUACCUUUCAGGUAACUUCCCUAUCAGAGAAGCUUACAAUCAAGAAUCCUACUUCCCUAGUUCCCUACACAGGCCCAGGAGGCUUUUGGUGGUAUCCGCUGGACUUUUGAAAAUUAGGGAAUUUCUCCUACUCUGAACUCUACCAGGAAUCACAUAUCAAGAUCUCAGUACCAUCUUACCUAGACCCUCUUGACCUCUUCUUUCUCCAUAAUCUCUUUCUAGCUCAUGUCAUCCAGACUCGAGGGCCCCAUUCUCAGUUUGACACUGAGGACACCCACGCUAUUAUCUCUGGCUGUGACCUUUCCCACGAGCUCCAAAUUCACACCAUCUUUUGACGUCUCCACUUAACUUCCCCAUUUCGGUGUCUCAAACUUGACAAUUCAAAACAGAACUCCCUCCCACUUCCAAACUGGUUUCCUACCCAACUUUCCCAGGCCCCCAGUUUCUCAAGUCAGAAAUCUAUGAGUCAUCCUUGAUGUUUGCCAUUCCCUCAUCCCUCCCAUCCAACCCAUUCGUAGGCUCUUGGGAAUCUACCUCCAAAAUGUCUCUGGAAUCCAUCCUCUUC